rnacentral:lncRNA from 1 species
CAGAAGAAGAAGAGGAAGAGCCUAAGAAGAAAAUAUCAGAGAGCUUCUUUUAUGAUUACAGUGAACUUGCCUCAAUGCCUUUUGUGACUCCAAAUUCGAACAUACCACUGGAUUUUCUUGUACUUGUACAUUCUUUUGGUUAUGACUGCAGAAAGCGAGCCAACCUACAGCUUCUAGACAGUGAUA